CCAGGAAUAGAUUUGUAUUCCUGGCACUUAUAGUAUCCCUUUAAGCUAGUUAUUUUGGGGACUGUAGUGUCUCUUUACAUUUAACAUGACUGCAAUGUUGCUUUGGAUUUUCUUCAAAUGACAUGGUCAUUCACCAAAAAAUAAAUACCUUAGCUGGUUCUUGUUUACAUCUACAGCGCUGCAGCAUAUUCUAGGGCUCUGUUCAGCAGAAAAUGGUUCCGGUUAGGGGCAGAUCCAGAACCUAAUCUUUGGAGGGGCACUCGUAGAUUUAAAGAGCAAUUCAGGCACAUUAACUACUACAGUACUAUGUAGUGGUUAUGGUGCCCUCCCAGGGUAAG